GGGAGGCGGAUGUUGCAGUAAGCCAAGAUCAUGCUGAUGCCUGGGUAACAGAGAGCUUGAAAAAAAGAAACUGGAUAACUGAAUUUACAUCUCAUUUGGCUGGGAAAACACUUAAACAAAACUGAUAUGGAUGGAUGCUGAUAUAGUCUUCUUCCUCUUGGCAAUAAAGCUUUUCUUAGAUGCUAUUUUACCAAGAACACAGGAGUCAGUGGGCAAAUAAUUGGACCAACCAAUACUUUAUAAACAUGUUAAUUUUAUUGAGUAGGCAUCAAAGCGUCUCUCUGUGUCAGUUAAUGGAGAGGCUGUCACACAGAUUACAGAGCUAUUUUUACUGAAAUAAUCUUUCAUAAAAGAAAGAAAUUAAAUACAAUUCUUCUAUAAAAAAUGCAGUAGUCAUUACUGGAAAUUUUCCAAAAUGAAAGCAUGAUUUACUACAUAUUGCAAAAAUUGGUUUAGUGCUUUAAUACUUUACAAAGUAAUAUUCCAACCACUGACGACAGCUCUUACAAUGGGUUUGUUCUCCAAGAAUGGACCAGAUUGAAAAGGGAAAGUUGCAUUGACUUGGAAUGAACAGCUGCAGGUACAAAGGGGUUCUGCACAGCUGGGUCAGAGUAACGUGACUUGUGACCUAUUUUUGCCUUAAUAUUUUCCUUUGCCCACAGUAAUUAAAGAAAUGGGAGAAAUAAAGCAACAUAUGUCAUCAAAAGAUCAAAAAAAACAAGAAUGGAAUAUUCACUGACUUCAUUAGGCCAAAUGCUUGUUGAAAGGAACAAAGCAAAUACAGAGUGGGGAUGGUCCUUGUUAUAAUUAACUUCAACAAUCCUUAGUUAAAACUAGGCGAAAUUCUCAAAGGUGAUGGCGAAUGGAGUCACUAAGGAGCUUAGUCUUUCUGUGGACCCAGGGAAGACAGGCUGCAGCUGAAUGGUGACUGGCUCUGUCAGAGGUGAGGCUUGCCUCUGUGUGUACUGGGGCUCGAGGCCACGGCUGAUCUCCAACACUGUGCAUGGUAAACUUCCUAGUUUUGGUCCUAAGUUAGUGGAGACAAGCGGCCCCACUCCCUGCUGCCAAGUCAUCAUUCCAUAUCAGGUGUUUGGAUUUCAUUCCUGCACGCGGGAAGAAUGUGUGCAAAGAGCUGGACAGCCGAUAGGGCCUGGGAGACCUCCAUGGACGUCUGCCAUGGAGAACAUUUGCAUGGACCAAGGGGGCAGGCUCUUGGGAAGCACACUCUCUCUCCCCAGGUGCUGGCAGGAGCAGGCCACCAGUCUGUUUGAGCAGCAAUGAAAGGGACACUGUUUGGCAAUUCAAGCACAGGAACGCACAUGUGUGGGCCCACUCACUGCCGGCUGGACAGCUGCAGAGGGGGCGUGAUGAUGGAGACCUUAUGCCCCCUCCCACGAGGGACCUGAAAAUAUGGCAUCAAGAGAAA